AAAAGAUUAGUUUAAAAUAAAACAUUAAUUUGUCAAAUUAAAAAUAUUUAUAUAAAUAUCUUUUA
rnacentral:tRNA from 1 species